rnacentral:rRNA from 1 species
GACGAACGCUGGCGGCGUGCUUAACACAUGCAAGUCGAACGGAAAGGCCCUGCUUUUGUGGGGUGCUCGAGUGGCGAACGGGUGAGUAACACGUGAGUAACCUGCCCUUGACUUUGGGAUAACUUCAGGAAACUGGGGCUAAUACCGGAUAGGAGCUCCUGCUGCAUGUUGGGGGUUGGAAAGUUUCGGCGGUUGGGGAUGGACUCGCGGCUUAUCAGCUUGUUGGUGGGGUAGUGGCUUACCAAGGCUUUGACGGGUAGCCGGCCUGGGAGGGUGACCGGCCACAUGGGGACUGAGAGACGGACCAGACUGCUACGGGAGGCAGCAGUGGGGAAUAUUGCACAAUGGGCGGAAGCCUGAUGCAGCAACGCCGCGUGCGGGAUGACGGCCUUCGGGUUGUAAACCGCUUUCGCCUGUGACGAAGCGUGAGUGACGGUAAUGGGUAAAGAAGCACCGGCUAACUACGUG